UACGAAGGGGGCGAGCGUUGUUCGGAUUUACUGGGCGUAAAGGGCGCGCAGGCGGCGAUUUUUGUCAGGCGUGAAAGCCCCGGGCUCAACCUGGGAACUGCGCUUGAAACGGGAUUGCUAGAGAUCGGGAGAGGAGAGUGGAAUUCCCAGUGUAGAGGUGAAAUUCGUAGAUAUUGGGAAGAACACCUGUGGCGAAGGCGGCUCUCUGGACCGAUACUGACGCUCAUGCACGAAAGCGUGGGGAGCAAACAGG
rnacentral:rRNA from 1 species